AAGGGGAUGCCUUUUUCGGCAAGCACCUGCUGGAAAAGGCAUCCCCCCUGUUAAAAAUGGAUCUACUGCACCUACGCUGCUGAAACUUGCACAGGUAACUUAACACUCUCUCAAAUACAAAGUCCUAAAGGCACUUGAUGAUGGGAGCUGCAGAAAUCCAAAAUCCAAGGGGAUGCCUUUUUCGGCCUGCACCUGCCGGAAAAGGUAUCCCCCUGUUAAAACUGUUACGUAACAGCUCAGAUCUCCACGAUGCUUGGGCAGGCAAAGAUGUGCAUGUACUGUUGUCCAAAAUUGGACCAUACAAGAUAUUCUACUGGGACAUAAAGAAGACUGGUCCUCACCAGCAGCUUGAGAGCGAGGUAAUUAAUGCUUUCUUAAGGUUGCUGGUCAUUGAGAACAAUAAGGUCAACAUGAGUAAGGCAGUCAUGAUUGACUCUUAUGAAAUGACAGCAAUCUGGAUGGGGAGGACAUCCAAAGUUAAAAUGAGUCCAAUGGAUUUCCAAACAGUUUUGGGCAUUGUUAAUGUGCAUUACCACUGGAUGCUGAU